UGGGCUUCUUUUAUCUAUUGCAAGCAUUCAGUCCACUCUGUAGAGUGGUUGGUAUUAGAAAGGGCAUCCAGCUGUAAAAACCAUGCCAGAACAGACAGUGAAGUACGGUGCAGUCUUCUGCUAAACCAGCUCCUGUCAAACUAUCCAACCAAUGCCAGCAUGGAAAAUGGAUGUUAAAUGAUGAUGAUGAUGAUGAUGAUUAUGAUAAUGAUGACGACGAUGAUGAUGAUGAUGAUGAUGAUGAUAAUAAUAAU